AGCGAACGUUAGCGGCGGGCCUAACACAUGCAAGUCGAACGCGAAAGGUCUUCGGACUGAUUAGAGUGGCGCACGGGUGAGUAACACGUAGGUAAUCUACCCUUUGGCGGGGGAUAACGUUCCGAAAGGAGCGCUAAUACCGCAUAAGACCACGGAGUCUCCGGACGCUGUGGGAAAAGGUGGCCUCUUCUUGAAAGCUAUCACCGGAGGAUGAGCCUGCGUCCCAUCAGCUAGUUGGUAAGGUAAUGGCUUACCAAGGCAAAGACGGGUAGCUGGUUUGAGAGAAUGAUCAGCCACACUGGCACUGGAACACGGGCCAGACUCCUACGGGAGGCAGCAGUGAGGAAUAUUGGGCAAUGGGCGAAAGCCUGACCCAGCCACGCCGCGUGAGUGAUGAAGGCCCUCGGGUCGUAAAGCUCUGUGGAGAGGGACGAAAAACCUGGGGUCCAAUAGGCCCCGGACUUGACGGUACCUCUUUAGCAAGCACCGGCUAACUCUGUGCCAGCAGCCG
rnacentral:rRNA from 1 species